rnacentral:rRNA from 1 species
AGAGUUUGAUUCCUGGCUCAGAUUGAACGCUGGCGGCAGGCCUAACACAUGCAAGUCGAGCGGCAGCGGGUCCUUCGGGAUGCCGGCGAGCGGCGGACGGGUGAGUAAUGCCUAGGAAUCUGCCUGGUAGUGGGGGAUAACGUUCGGAAACGGACGCUAAUACCGCAUACGUCCUACGGGAGAAAGUGGGGGAUCUUCGGACCUCACGCUAUCAGAUGAGCCUAGGUCGGAUUAGCUAGUUGGUGGGGUAACGGCUCACCAAGGCGACGAUCCGUAACUGGUCUGAGAGGAUGAUCAGUCACACUGGAACUGAGACACGGUCCAGACUCCUACGGGAGGCAGCAGUGGGGAAUAUUGGACAAUGGGCGCAAGCCUGAUCCAGCCAUGCCGCGUGUGUGAAGAAGGUCUUCGGAUCGUAAAGCACUUUAAGUUGGGAGGAAGGGCAGUAAGUUAAUACCUUGCUGUUUUGACGUUGCCGACAGAAUAAGCACCGGCUAACUCUGUGCCAGCAGCCGCGGUAAUACAGAGGGUGCAAGCGUUAAUCGGAAUUACUGGGCGUAAAGCGCGCGUAGGUGGUUUGUUAAGUUGGAUGUGAAAGCCCCGGGCUCAACCUGGGAACUGCAUCCAAAACUGGCAAGCUAGAGUACGGUAGAGGGUGGUGGAAUUUCCUGUGUAGCGGUGAAAUGCGUAGAUAUAGGAAGGAACACCAGUGGCGAAGGCGACCACCUGGACUGAUACUGACACUGAGGUGCGAAAGCGUGGGGAGCAAACAGGAUUAGAUACCCUGGUAGUCCACGCCGUAAACGAUGUCAACUAGCCGUUGGAAUCCUUGAGAUUUUAGUGGCGCAGCUAACGCAUUAAGUUGACCGCCUGGGGAGUACGGCCGCAAGGUUAAAACUCAAAUGAAUUGAUGGGGGCCCGCACAAGCGUGGAGCAUGUGGAUUUAAUUCGAAGCAACGCGAAGACCUUACCUGGCUUGACAUGCUGAGAACUUUCAGAAAUGAUGUGCUUCGGGAGCUCAGAACCAGGUGCUGCAUGCUGUUCGUCAGCCUCGGUUCGUGAGAUGUUUGGGUUUAGUUC